rnacentral:rRNA from 1 species
GCACCUACGGGGGGCAGCAGUGGGGGAUAUUGCACAAUGGGGGAAACCCUGAUGCAGCAACGCCGCGUGAGUGAUGACGGCCUUCGGGUUGUAAAGCUCUGUCCUCAAGGAAGAUAAUGACGGUACUUGAGGAGGAAGCCCCGGCUAACUACGUGCCAGCAGCCGCGGUAAUACGUAGGGGGCUAGCGUUAUCCGGAAUUACUGGGCGUAAAGGGUGCGUAGGUGGUUUCUUAAGUCAGAGGUGAAAGGCUACGGCUCAACCGUAGUAAGCCUUUGAAACUGGGGGACUUGAGUGCAGGAGAGGG